rnacentral:rRNA from 1 species
CGCCAAACAGCUAGCCCGCCCCACUAACACCAUCACAAACAUAUAACUACACCCUAAAUUACUUACAAGUAACCAAUAAACCAUUCUUCCCCUUUAGUAUGGGAGACAGAAAAAG